rnacentral:rRNA from 1 species
AGCCAGGGCGGCAUGCUUACCAUGCAGUCGAACGGCAGCACGGGUGCUUGCACCUGGUGGCGAGUGGCGAACGGGUGAGUAAUACAUCGGAACAUGUCCUGUAGUGGGGGAUAGCCCGGCGAAAGCCGGAUUAAUACCGCAUACGAUCUAAGGAUGAAAGCGGGGGACCUUCGGGCCUCGCGCUAUAGGGUUGGCCGAUGGCUGAUUAGCUAGUUGGUGGGGUAAAGGCCUACCAAGGCGACGAUCAGUAGCUGGUCUGAGAGGACGACCAGCCACACUGGGACUGAGACACGGCCCAGACUCCUACGGGAGGCAGCAGUGGGGAAUUUUGGACAAUGGGCGAAAGCCUGAUCCAGCAAUGCCGCGUGUGUGAAGAAGGCCUUCGGGUUGUAAAGCACUUUUGUCCGGAAAGAAAUCCCUGGUCCUAAUAUGGCCGGGGGAUGACGGUACCGGAAGAAUAAGCACCGGCUAACUACGUGCCAGCAGCCGCGGUAAUACGUAGGGUGCGAGCGUUAAUCGGAAUUACUGGGCGUAAAGCGUGCGCAGGCGGUUUGUUAAGACCGAUGUGAAAUCCCCGGGCUCAACCUGGGAACUGCAUUGGUGACUGGCAAGCUAGAGUAUGGCAGAGGGGGGUAGAAUUCCACGUGUAGCAGUGAAAUGCGUAGAGAUGUGGAGGAAUACCGAUGGCGAAGGCAGCCCCCUGGG